rnacentral:sRNA from 1 species
GGAGGGCUGGGGGAAGGGACCCGGACUAGAACAACUGCUGACUAAUCCGCGGGCCGCGGGGAAUGGGUGGCGCGCCAGUCGGUCGGCCGGGGUCACGCGGCCGGGUGUGCGCGGAAUGGAUUCAGGGUUCCCGGGUCUCGCCCGGGAGCUAGAGUCCCGACUCCCAGCCAGGGUCCCCGACCGGCCUUUCGGGGUUGCCGGGCGCGCUCUGCAAAGGGGAAACUGAGGCCCAAGGAAAUUGAGUAUCUCUGCAAAGUCCCCAGCUGAGUUCGAACCAGACAGAUCCUGGGACCCCCUACUCUAUCCGCCACCCGGAAGAAUCUCCGUCCUUGUCUUUCCAUUCUGCCCUCCCGGCUUCCCAGUAAGCACACAGCCCCAGGACCACCCUUGACCAUCCUCAACCAAGCUAUGCAUGCCAGGGGCCCCCAUGGCCAACUGUCCCCGGCGCUGCCUCUGGCCUCCUCAGUCCUCAUGCUGCUGAUGAGCAGCCUGUGGCUGGUGGGGGCCGGCCCUGGCCUGGUCCUGGCCCCGGAGCUGUUGCUGGACCCCUGGCAGGGUGAGGGCCAGCCACGUGGACCUUGGAGGAAGCAGGAGACUUGCUGUAGGGCCUGGGCCCAGUUGGCAGGAGCAGCACAAGGCCUCCAGGGGUCAAACAGGGAUGGGGCCCAGUGUCCUGGGGAAGCGUGGUCUUAGACAGGAGCAUGCCCAGCACAUCCACAGCCAAGAAGGGAGGCAGAGGACUUGGCAGGGUGGGCUGGAACCUGUGGGUAGGAGUGCUUUUCUCAUGGUUUCCCUUUCUGGCAGCUUUUCCUUGAAAUAAGAACUAAGGCCAGGUGGCUGACGCCUGUAAUCCCAGCACUUUGGGAAGCUGAGGCAGGUAGAUCACUUGAGGUCAGGAGUUCGAGACCAGCCUGGCCAACAUGGUGAAACCCGUCUCUACUAAAAAUACAAAAAUCGGCCAGGCGCAGUGGCUCACGCCUGUAAUCCCAGCACUUUGGG